CACUACAGAGUCUUAGCAGCAGUACAAAUGAGUUGACUGUCCAAAGUUGAGGUCCUCUUUCACCAUUCUGGGUGUGCAAUAAAUUGGGGUAGGUUGCUGUGGUGGGUCCUGCACUGACCCCACCAUUGAAUCAAACACCUAAUGAUAGAUUUGAUCAUUUGAGCUGGAGGACAUUGUUCAUCACAAUCGUCAUAUCGUUCCUUCCUAAUGCCAAAUGACUUUAUUAUAGGAAGGCAAUCAAUCACAGAAAGUCAUGG
rnacentral:lncRNA from 1 species